UCAGGAUGAACGCUGGCGGCGUAGCUUAACACAGUUCAAGUCGAACGGAGUAUUUUGAAAGCUUGCUUUGAGAAUACUAGUGGCGGACGGGUGAGUAAUGCAUGAGCAACCUGCCUUUAAGAGGGGGAUAACGACAGAGAAAUCUGUGCUAAUACCGCAUAGAACACUGAGAUGGCAUCGAUCAUAGUGGGAAAGGAGCAAUCCGGCUUAAAGAUGGGCUCAUGUCUGAUUAGAUAGUUGGCGGGGUAACGGCCCACCAAAUCCGCGAUCAGUAGCCGGACUGAGAGGUUGAACGGCCACAUUGGAACUGAGAUACGGUCCAGACUCCUACGGGAGGCAGCAGUGGGGAAUAUUGGGCAAUGGGCGAAAGCCCUGACCCAGCGACGCCGCGUGAGGGAAGAAGGUCUUCGGAUUGUAAACCUCUGUUGAUAGGAACGAAAAAUGACGGUACCUAUCGAGGAAGCCACGGCUAACUACGUGCCAGCCGCUGC
rnacentral:rRNA from 1 species